CACGUAGGGGGCGAGCGUUGUCCGGAUUUAUUGGGCGUAAAGAGCUCGUAGGCGGUUCGGCAAGUCUGGUGUGAAAUUUCGAGGCUCAACCUCGAAACGCCACUCGAUACUGCUGUGACUGGAGUCCGGUAGAGGAGUGCGGAAUUCCUGGUGUAGCGGUGAAAUGCGCAGAUAUCAGGAGGAACACCAACGGCGAAGGCAGCACUCUGGGCCGGUACUGACGCUGAGGAGCGAAAGCGUGGGGAGCAAACAGG
rnacentral:rRNA from 1 species